rnacentral:rRNA from 1 species
CAGGGAUUGCCUUAGUAACGGCGAGUGAAGCGGCAAUAGCUCAAAUUUGAAAUCUGGCACUUGUGUCCGAGUUGUAAUUUGCAGAAGAUGAUUUUGGUUAGGUACCUUCCGAGUUCCUUGGAACAGGACGCCUUAGAGGGUGAGAGCCCCGUACGGUUGGAUGCCGAGCCUUUGUAAAUCUCUUUCGACGAGUCGAGUAGUUUGGGAAUGCUGCUCUAAAUGGGAGGUAAAUUUCUUCUAAAGCUAAAUACUGGCCAGAGACCGAUAGCGCACAAGUAGAGUGAUCGAAAGAUGAAAAGCACUUUGAAAAGAGGGUUAAAUAGCACGUGAAAUUGUUGAAAGGGAAGGAUUUAUGACCAGACUUUUUCUAGGAGGAUCAUCCGGUGUUCUCACCGGUGCACUUCUUCUAGUCUAGGCCAGCAUCGACUUUCGGCGGCGGAUAAAAGCUUCAGGAAUGUGACUCCCUACGGGGAGUGUUAUAGCCUGUUGUAUAAUACGCUGCUGGGGGUCGAGGUACGCGCUUCUGCAAGGAUGCUGGCGUAAUGGUUAUCAAUCACCCGUCUUGAAACACGGACCAAGGAGUCGAACAUUUGUGCAAGUGUUUGGGUGUUAAACCCUCACGCGUAAUGAAAGUGAACGGAGGUGAGAGCCCUUACGGGUGCAUCAUCGACCGAUCCUGAUGUUUUCGGAUGGAUUUGAGUAAGAGCAUAACUGUUCGGACCCGAAAGAUGGUGAACUAUGCGUGGAUAGGGUGAAGCCAGAGGAAACUCUGGUGGAGGCUCGCAGCGGUUCUGACGUGCAAAUCGAUCGUCAAAUCUGCGCAUGGGG